rnacentral:ncRNA from 1 species
CAAAGGGGUGCCCAACCAGAUGACGGGCUGAGAUUAUACCCUACGAACCUGAUUUGGUUAAUGCCAACGGAGGGAUUGUUGUU